GACGUACGCUGGCGGCGUGCCUAAUACAUGCAAGUAGAACGCUGAAGGAGGAGCUUGCUCUUCUGGAUGAGUUGCGAACGGGUGAGUAACGCGUAGGUAACCUGCCUGGUAGCGGGGGAUAACUAUUGGAAACGAUAGCUAAUACCGCAUAAGAGUAGAUGUUGCAUGACAUUUGCUUAAAAGGUGCAAUUGCAUCACUACCAGAUGGACCUGCGUUGUAUUAGCUAGUUGGUGGGGUAACGGCUCACCAAGGCGACGAUACCUAGCCGACCUGAGAGGGUGAUCGGCCACACUGGGACUGAGACACGGCCCAGACUCCUACGGGAGGCAGCAGUAGGGAAUCUUCGGCAAUGGACGGAAGUCUGACCGAGCAACGCCGCGUGAGUGAAGAAGGUUGUCGGAUCGUAAAGCUCUGUUGUAAGAGAAGAACGAGUGUGAGAGUGGAAAGUUCACACUGUGACGGUAUCUUACCAGAAAGGGACGGCUAACUACGUG
rnacentral:rRNA from 1 species